rnacentral:rRNA from 1 species
CGUGUAGGCGGCUUGCUAAGCCGCGUGUGAAAGCCCGGGGCUCAACCCCGGAACGGCACGCGGGACUGGCAGGCUCGAGACUGGUAGAGGCAAGUGGAAUUCCUGGUGUAGCGGUGGAAUGCGUAGAGAUCAGGAAGAACACCGGUGGCGAAGGCGGCUUGCUGGGCCAGUUCUGACGCUGAGGCGCGAAAGCGUGGGGAGCAAACA